rnacentral:lncRNA from 1 species
CUUGGACUGUGAUGCCAAACUCUUCAGCUCUUGAGUCAAGAUCUCGCUCUGUCACCCAGGCUGGAGUGCAGUGGUGGGAUCAUAGCUCACUGCCACCUUGAAUUCCUGAACUCAAGCGAUCCUCCCACUUUAGCCUCCUGAGUAGCUGGGACUACAGGUGCACACCAACACUAUGCCUGGAUAAUUAAAAAAAAAAUUGUAGACACGGAAGUCUUGCUGUGUUGCUCAGGCUGGUGUUGAACUUCUGAUCUCAAGUGAUCCUCCUGUCCUGGAAUUCCAAAAUGUACUAUGAAGACUGAGUGUCUGAGAAAGUGUGCUUCCUGGACAAGCAUUAGCCCCCCUCCAGUGAGCCUCCCUCAUGCACCCUGCAGAUUCUGGGCUCCCUCCAAUUCCUCAAAGCCUCAAGAGGUGGAUCCCUCCUUUCUACGGAGAGCCAGCUUUCCCACUGCAUGGGGAGGCACUGCAGAGUUCUCAAUCUUGCAACAAUCACAGAGCCCACCUCUGGAGGUGCCCCACCUUUUCUCCUGGCUACGAAGCCAAAACUAAAGUUAAGUCACAGCUUACUUGAGAUGUGCUAAGCCUGUUGAAGAUGAUAUGCCAAGGAGCCUGUAAGAAAACCAUUUGUGCUGGAGGAAACCAUGGCAGUUCCCAUGGACUGGAUUUUGAGGGUGCCUGAUUAAGGUGUCCAGACAUAAGAUGGGGAUGCUCUCAAUAUAUGGGAUUUAACACCAGGGAAGAACAAAAACUUCUUGAGAGAAUGGCUCCUAGAAGUCUGGAAAACAAGCUGGCCCCCAUGCUGGGUGAAGAUCCAAAGUUCAAUGGCUAUGGCAGAUGGUAGAAGAAAGGACUAAAAGGCUCAGCACAGAGGCUAUGCUGGAGAGGGUGUAAGAUUUGAGGCCAGGGGACCCACCAGAAGAUUAUGUUCCUCAGCAAGGCCCAGACGACUCAGCAUUCCCAGGGCUGCUGCACAUGUGCUGAUGAGACAGGCACCUGCAUCUUUAACUUUUGUGAAAGUUCUGUUCUGCAGUGGGGAUGAUGGUGUCUCAAAGCAAUAGACAUCAGGCAGUAACACGUAACCACCAGCAUCCAGGAGCAAUUUGUAAUGAUUGAGAAGAUCACAGUGACGAGGAAGAUGGACAGACCCACGGAGAAUUGUGGAGAUCAUUUAUACAAUGAAAUAGGAACAGUUUUCUAAGGGAUGAAAUAGGUAGGCAGUGAAUAAUGGUACUGCCUAAUACAUGUAAUCAAAAUAACAAAUUCCACACAACUAGGAUUAUUUCUGUGAUCUACAGUCUGUCCAUUCUGAGUGGGACCUGGAGCAGGAAGAGGGUCUGCCCCAGGUGCAGGCUGCGUUCAGGCAUCCCUGCCAUGUGCACCAUGUGUCGGCGGUGGAAAGUGAUGCAGAGAUGAGGUCAUGACAGUGGGGGAUUCUCAGUGCAGAGCCCUGGGGUUCUGCAACAAAGAGAAGCCAUUUGCAAUGAAGAACUGUGCAUCAUCAUCCCACUGUACCCUGGGAGGGAAGGAGUGUUUGAGAAUAAGUGACCAUGCAUCCAGGCCUUCUAUUAUGAGCUGGAUUCUGCCAGAGUCAUCAGUUCAUCAAGCCAGACAAGCAUCAUAAUAAUCUAUCACAAAAUGGAAAUGGAACAGCUGAGAUUGAGCCCAAGCAGAACCAGAGGGCAUGAGUACGCGGCAUGAUAGCCUUGUGUCCCUCGCUCAAUUCACACUGAUGGCCCUAUGGGGGUCCCAUAAAACAAACUGAGGGAAGGAAAAUAAAUUACCAAAGUUGAUCAACAGGUAGAUUAUCUCAGUAUAGCAGUCCAAGCUAAAAUGGACAGCUGGCUGCAUUGUAGCCAUAGUCAAGGGUAGCCUUGAAAGAUAGUGGUGACAUAAGACCUUCCCAAUGAGACGGCUUUACGUGAUGCACUUGAUCAUGCACUUUAUGUAGCAGGGAGAAUGGCCUGAGCAAAGACUAUGUAAAUAUUCAUGGGCAGUGACUACAAAUAACACUGGACUGGCUGGGCAGGGGCUGAAUGGCCUGGCCUAGCUAGGCAGGGUCUGUUAUAGAAAAAGACUGGAAGAUCACAAAGAGGCAAGAAGAAAAGUGAAGAUAUCCCUUACAGCCACACUCCGGAAUAAUCUAUAAGAAGGGAAAAGGUGAAAUUGACUCAAGAAAUGCUGAUGGAUGCAGGACCUAAGGUGGUGGGGGCUGGGAAGAUCAGUCACAAAAUCUCAGAUAAUAGAACCCAAAAGACAUCACUAUUUGAAGGAGACCAAGAAAUAGCAAGAACACUCACACCGGAAAAAAAUCAAUCACUGUAAUAUGUCUAUUGCAAUAAAAUUGAACUACCUUACAAAUGUUUUGAGAAUUAAGGGUAAAUUCUAAAAUACUUCUACGUGUUAGAAAGAAUAAAUGGAAACCAGGAACAGAAAACCAAACACUGCAUAUUCUCACUCAUAAGUGGGAGUUGAACAAUGAAAACACAUGGACACAGGGAGGGGAACAUCACACACCAGUGCCUGUCAGAGGCGGUGGGGAGAGGGGAGGGAGAGCAUUAGGACAAAUACCUAGUGCAUGCGGGGCUUAAAACCUAGAUGAUGGGUUGAUAGGCACAACAAACCACCAAGACACAUGUAUACC